GCCCGGGUGGCGAAAUUGGUAGACGCACUAGCUUCAGGUGCUAGCGCCUUCGCGGGCGUGCUGGUUCGAGUCCAGUCCCGGGCA
rnacentral:tRNA from 2 species